UUGCUUCGAGACAGUUUGAUGAUUCUUAAACGGAGUAGAAAGGAUAUGCUGAGGAUAGACUUGGCUUUGGAUGAACGGAUAUUUUUGUGCAGAAUUAGCGGUGCAUGGAUUUCAUCGAUACGUAAAGUCUCUGCUCAGCAACAUGAGCCCAACACGACGGUGGAACCUGCUAAGGCUCUCUAACAAAGGCUGCUUUCUACAGCCCAAAUCCACACUCAGCACCCUCUACCAGACACAAAGGAUUCCUUCUUCAUCCUGUUCAUCCUGCGCAUUCAGCUUCUCGCUCAUAUUUAAGAAGUGAGGACACACAGAGGCCAAGGAGUGUUUCUGGAUAUACAGGAUAAUUAUGCUUCUGUCACUCAACUCUGUUAUGGGCAUUUAUACAGAAAACCCAAAGACAGCUGUGAAGCCCCUUAUAACUGUCUCUUAAAGAUGAAAGCACUGAAAGAAUAAAAAAUUUAAGCCAAACUAAUUGUAA